UGCAGCCAGUGUACUAUAGGUGUACCUGGACGUUUCUGAUGAUGCUUUAGCCAUGGAAGAAGUUUAUCACUUAUAUUCUGUCAUAUGAGAGUGCAGUUGUCAUGAAUUUGGAGAAACAGAGCUCAUCAUUAAUUUAAAGAUCUGGCACAGAGAUUCACUUUGUGCUCAGAAUCCUCUCUCAAACACUUUUUGAGCAACUGAGCUUAAGCUAAGGUUUGGCAUAAGCAGCUGGGGGAGGGAAGCUCAGCUGCUUUUCUGUGUAAAACAAAAGCAUGAAGGAAUGGUGGAACUGAAACUUACUUUAGAAUUUGAACAUGCAAUAGUGAGAAAUGUUUUGCUACCAUUUGCUUUGGUGUAGUCUGCUCCAUGCAGUGAGUAGAUUCAAUGGCUGUUUUGUAUAAAGCACUGUUCCUGUUCAGACAGGUGGUGCAACCAGGCCUUUUCCUUAACAGAUUGAAGUCUACUUAGGCAAGACAAAGGCUCCUUCCUCCCCACUACCCCUCCAAAGAAAAGAGAUUUGAGGUGCUUAGCUGUGUCACAAUAAGGUAAAUCAGAGCCAAAAGUACAGCUCAGAUCCUCUAACUCCUCACCUAGCCCCUGAGGUGCCCAGCCGAGUUACCUUCCCACAACUGCACCGCUGGCUUCUGCCAUCGCUGUGGCUUUAAGGAGUGGAGCACAGUAUGGCUGUAAUGCAGCACAGUGGUACAAAUGUUUUUCAGAUGAGGUUGGCUGCAGGUUGCUGUAGGCAUGCCAGGAAAGCUGUUCCACUCUCAUAUAAUUUUGUAAGAUCACAGGGGAAAGAAAGAUCCUCCAGGUGCAUGAGCAGUCUGUCUGCCAUGUACUGAGUAGUGCAGCUGACAAAGUGUCUGUCCAAAAAGUCUUCUUCAUUGAGCAGGUAAUAUUUAGUUGCAAAGCUUCAGAGCUUGGCAGGGCUCGAAUGGGUAGGUGAACUCCCAGUUGCUGAAGAAAGAAAUGGAGUGAGCCUGCCAGCUUGGACACCAAAAGCAGCAUCAGGCUGCUGCUCACGGAGUUUGGUAUCAUCUCCACAUGAAUCACAAUGAGAGUGGUCCAGGGUGCUCCGUAAACUGCCUUAAAAAGGCUUGCCCAGGAGAAGUGGGCAUCAGCCGUAAUAUGUGAAGGAGACUUGAACGUGCAAUAGUGAGAAAUGUUUUGCUGUUUGCUUUGGUGUAGUCUGCUCCAUGCAGUGAGUAGACUCAAUGGUAAUCACAGGAAAAUGUGAAGAUUGUGUGAUAGGAAGAGCUGGGGUUUUAGAUUUGAGGGUCCCACGAGUUGAGCUUUCUUGGGAUAUUUUCACUUUUACCCACUCAUGUUUCCUUUUGCAACUCUCCAUUCCCAUACUUCUGUUAACUUUCUUACCUCCUCUCCCUCUACUUAAAAUCCCCAUAAUCUGGGCCUUGGAAAAGAGCUCCAUGCUGGAAGGAUUGGAUAAAAUGAGGAUAUUCUACCCAGUAGAGGGCAGUGUGUAAAUUUGGAGCCGGUGCAGAGCAAUUGGGCAGAGGACACAUACAAAGAAGGUUUCUAGAAACGAUUGAAGCUGAAAGACCUGCUGCUAGUUCAGAUGAUUCGGAUCUGCGCUCUGUCACUCGAUUUUGUUAAAAGUCCUUACCCCUAUUUUGUAAACAUAGGUUUGGAAAAUGACAGAAAAUUCAGAAGAAUCGCUAGGCAUUUGUGUAGCAGGAGCCUGGCUUACUGGUGAGAAAUGGGGCAAAGGUUAGAGGGAAUCUGUUUAGAGAGCACUGGGAAUAUGGAUGCCAGGAAAGGUCUGCCAGUAGGCAGCAGGGGAAAAAAUGGGUUUGAAGGUAGGGGAGUACUGUAUCUGUUGGGGAUACAUGGGACAUUUGCCUGUGUGUUAGUUUGUUUUUCAAAAACUACUCUUAGUCCUACUAGCAGCAGCGGCAUGCAGGCAGAGCUUCCUUUAUGCUCCAAGCCUUUCCUUGCCCUGUGAAACCACCAAGACAGGGGAGGUUGUGAUACCAUGUAUGGUAUUCCCCAGUAUAAAUUCCCUUUAUGGGGCACUCCACACCCCACUGAAUUCAUCCCCCCUGUAGGGACAGUCCUCUGGAAAAGAAAAAAAAUCAAAAAAGUCGAAAGGCUUAGAAAAUCAGCAGGCACUCCCCAUUUCAGCUUUGUUCCUAAUUUUUGAGAAUAGAAGCAGACUGAUUCUGUUAUGAAGCUGGAUUAAUUGGCAGGUCAAUGUGUCUGUGGAAUAGCAUGUUGGUUAGAAUUUGGUAUAGUAAGUGGCUAAUCAGUGUGGGAAUUGAUAUGGGAAUGCUAAAUCAGCUCAGUUGUGUUACUGUUAUGAAGACAGUUGUCAAUGAGUAACAAAAAUACUUUUCCGAGUCUAAUAAAUUGCUGUUGUCUGGGAAGAACAGUUCAAGUAAAUAGGGUCACAUAUUUUACUAUUAGUAUUUUGAGGUUAGAGCCUCUCUUGUGCUGAUACUGUAAAUGGUAGCUCUUACAUGAAAGCGCUCAUCUAAACUGACCAAAUCAGCAACAUCAUCUUUAGAAAAGGGGAACUGAAGCACCAAGAGAUUCAGUGAUUUGCUUAAAGUCACAGAGUGAGGUAGUCUGCAGAAGGGCUAGGAAUGGAACAUAAUUCAGGUCUUCAGAGCCCCAUACUAGAAACUUAACCACAAUACCAUCCUUCCUGUUUUAGUGGGUUUUGUUUUCUUCUCCAGAAUCUGAAUUUUCAUUUAAAUGAAACCCCUGAAAUCGGAAUUCUUUGAUUUUGCAAGUAAAUUAGACACCACACUGUUUCUGAGUCUCCUUUCAGAUACACUGAAACCAGCAGCACUGAGAGAAGUGUGAACCUCCGUCACCCACUUUAACUAGGUAUUAAGGUCAGAGUCUGACGUAUUUAAACGGGACAGGCCCAAAAGAUGCAACUAUUGUGACUAGACAUUUCCUUACACAUCUACAUUUUCAUGCUAUCCAUACUAUCAUUUUCUAAGUUAAGAGAUCAUAAAGUGGGCUUGACGAAUACAGCUCAUCCUCUUAUCCUUUUAGUCAUUUACUUCCAGGUAAAAUGGCUAUAAAAAUGACUCACUUUACACUGAUAUUAAUUAUCGUGCUAGAUAUCACUGAAGAACGAUGUGUGUACGACAUGUUGGCAUAGCAUACACAAGUCAUUAUGCCAGGAAUUUGAGAUGUCACCAAUUUGUUAUCAAGCCUCAAUAAGCAUCAUGUCUAUGCUUAGACAAGGGCUAGCCAGUCGGUACAGAAUUAAUAAUUUAUGUCUGAACUGGAAUUUGUGCUGUUCUGCCAAUAAUGGACAAGUCAGAUCCGAUCCAGCUAUGAUGGGUGAUAGAAAUUAGGUUUUGUCCUCUAAAAAGGAUCUCCGUGAGUAUUAUUUGUGAGAAAGUGCACAUCUACUGGUUCAGAUGAAAAGCUGUGGGUUUUGGAAGGUAAGUGAAGUAAGCUUAAUGGUGUACUAAAACUGAGUAAGAAUUGAGCCUCUCCCUCUUGUAGGUUCCUUUGAAUAGUCCAAAUUGUCUGAAAUAUAUUUCUGUAAGAGAUAUAAAAUGUUAUAUUUCAAAUAAGUAAUAAAAUAACUGUCUGAGGCUAUGAGGAAAGUUUCUUUCUAAGCUGGCUAUUCUGGAACUGUUUAUUUUAAAUUAUGUUAGUUCCUUCUUCUGGAGCAGUUAACACUGGUUUCCUUGAGCCCAGACUAAAUGGACCCUAUCCGAUGUUCGGUGGAAUUUCUUUGGUUGAUAUGAAGGCAAAUCAAGAUUCACAUUAGUCUGUUGAAUUCAAAUGCUGAACAGUUAACCAUACAAAAAUGUGGUUUGAGUUUUCUACAUUUCAGUAGUUCAGACAUCCUUCUUGGUAAUCAGUUGAUUGAAAAAAAAAAAAAAGGAAAGCCUCAAGUUGUUGGUAAAAGCAUUGUGAAAGGGCAGCCUGCAUUCUGGUGUUUUUUUCAUUUUUCAUCUCAAAUUAGAGAUUUGUGUUGCUUGGGGUGGGGGGUAAGGGGUGCACUCAUGCGCACGUACUCCAUAGUUGAUGGAGGAACUUUGGAUCCCUAAAAAUAAUGUUGGUGCUAAUUGCAGAGGUAGCAGACUGCUGUUCGUACAGGGGAACUGCUGCUAUAAAUACUGGACUGGAUAUUUUAAAGCAGAACCAUAUGAAGUUAGUUUGGCUUCCAGAUACACUUACUGGGCUACAGAGGUUUCAGUGCUGGCUGGAGGAACACGGACCUUGAAUUUCACAGCCAGUUGCUAAUUUUACUUCAUUCUAGCUACCACAAUACCUGAGUGAUGCUUUCCAAACUAAGCCAAUACAGACCUCUGCUCCCUUUCCAUUGCCUCCCUCGCUGCCCCAGCAGCUCUCUCUCUUGCUGUUAAAGCCAUGGCACUGACCUGUGCUGUGGGUUUUGGAGCUGAGGUUACUGUUUGUGCAUGCAGUUAAGAGUCCUCAGGCAGUUAUAUAUCCCAUGUAAUAUGAGAAGGGGAUGCUGACUAUAAAGAGGACACAGGAGAGGUCAUAAGCUUUGGGGAAAAUUUAUUUUUGAGUGGGAACCUUGGGGACACCAAGCAAAACAUAAUCCAAAAAGGCUUACAGUGUCUCUUCACUACUAUUUUAAUGGUAUCUUUACCCUCUGCUCUUAUAGCUUCCCAUUCUUACAGGCAUUUUCUACCAUUUCUCUUUGUUUUCAAUGCCUGUUUAGAUUAUGUCCUGCACGGUUUACGUGAUUAUGAAUUUGCAUUUGCUGCUGGUGGUGAACAGUGUUGAUACCCUUUCUGGUGCUCCCAUGAUUUGGUCUAUUCAAACCACAUGCAAAUACUGAGCUUCUGCUGAAGUAAUUCAAAGGUUGUGGAAUCAGUUUCUGAUGUAUUUCAUUCAUAAGCAUAAUCCACAUAUGAGGAGAUUUUUAUGGUUGGGGUGAGGUGGAGCAAAUGACUCAAAUGUUCCCUCACCUUUGGUUUUCAGUCCACAGAAACUAGUUAAAAUUCAUUCUUAGGAUGUUCAAACGGACCCAAAUCUGAGUUCUAUUUCCUUGAAUGUAGAGAGACUCAAUAAUCCAAACUAAAAGGAAAAAAGUGGUCUCGUUCUUAAAGUGAACAAAGACCAAUACCAUUCUGUUAUAGGAGACUGAAGUAGCGUGUAGCAAGCUGAGAAAUCAGAAGGUGGUGGCACCGCCGUAUCUUGCAGUUUCUCAUCCAGAUCCAGGUGGACCAUCAUAUUUCUUUCACAAUGCACUGAGACACUUUCAGAUGACUUGGUUGGAUUUUUAAUACUUGCAGUCAUCAAGCCCAGAUCUGAAUAAAUGACUAUUAAUGCUCAGCCUUGAGAAAACAUCUUUUGUGGGCUUUCUUACUGCAUGAUAUGCUGACCUCCAUAUUUCUACUGUGAUUACAGCAAUCUAUCUUAAUUGACAGAUGUUUUUAAAGUUGCAGUCUAAUCUCAAAAUCAUAAACCACCCAAACUCCUAUAUUGAUGGAAUGUAUUAAGUUCCUGCAGUAUCUAAUAACUCUUAUACCUAACAAACAGAAACUAGUGAAUGUGCAUCUUUUAUUCUACUCUAUCUAUAGGAUAGAUCCUAUAUAGAUUUUAUUAUUGUCUUACGGCUUUGGCUAGUUAUUGUGACAUACAUCUGCAAAGAUCUAGGCAAGAAAUAGCUCAUUUGAAUUUUAAGUUCUCGGUUUUCAAAGUAUUGAGAAAUUAGCCAGCUUUCUGUUCCUCCCCUGUCCCUGGAGAAAGGAUAGGUCCUGAUAGGUGGCUCAGCAGUCUACUUCAGAAUACAAACAUUAAUUCCUCAUUUGCCAAGAAAAUUAAAGUUAAAAAAAAGCCCACUGUAAUUGCUCUCGUGGAAAAAGAAUUGGAUUUUUUUUUCUUCAGACAUUCUCCCUCUCCAGAUUUAUUGCAAACCUUGGCCUAUUUUACAUGUGAACUCAACAAGCUGUGUUCAGAAUAGAUUAGCUUCACCAUAUUCCAACUCCAGCUGAAUUUCUAGGAAUCAGGAGAAUAAUCUAGCUAUUUCUGACACAAGACCUUUACAUGUAGAAUUUUUGGCAUUUGUUGUUAAAGUGGAAAAUUAGAAUCAUUAUGCAAAGAUAUUAAUGAAGCAUUCUCUAAUUUUAGAAAGAUCAAUAUUAGUUAGAUACAGACCUCAUCACACAUGCUUUUGGAUUAAUUAAGAAGAAAUAUUACAUUAUGUAAAAUUAGUGUAUCUUACCAUGCAGGCCUUGAUGUCCCCUAUCAGUAAAUUAGGUAACUGAGAAUAUGAAAGUGGGAGGAGUGCCCAGCCUGGAGGAUUUCCUCCUGGAUUUCUGGAGACAUCUCACUGAACUGCUCUUGUCGGGAGGUUUGAAGUCUGUGGUGGCUCACUUUUUAAGGGCAGCUUUGUCCUCUGACACCGUGAGAAGUCCUAUUAUCAGUUAUCUUAAACUGGAAAGAAAUGCUAUGCUAUAUUUCAAUUACAGAUCUAUUUCAGUUCAUUAUAAUGUCAAAAUACUGACAAAAUGUCUGGUAAUGAGUCGAGGAAGCAUUAGAUUUAGUCAUAUACAUGACUUGAAUCGAGCUUGCCAAGGUAACCUUCAAAAACUUACUGAACAUAUGAGUAGUGACAUGUGAUGACCUCAAACCACAAGUCAUUCUAAUACAACUUUAUUCACAGUAAAAACUUUUGGUAAGGUGGCUGGAGCUAUUCUUAGGUGCAAACAGUUUAAUUUUUUUACUUAGUAGUUCUUUGCUCUAGCUGUCCUGUUCUGGCUCUGUCUCAUACCAUGACUUGGAGUAUGGCCUGAGUAACCUCUCAGUUUCUGCAGCAAUACCAAAACUAUGUCCAUGACUUUCUGGGUUUACUUCUAAACAGAAUGAUGUCUAUAUUCCUGAUAUUACAGCCCCAUUCAACAUAAAUUAAUGCAGCCUUCAGGUGAUUGCUGGUUUAGUAUACAUCUAAGCUGAAGUUCCAUAAUUAGAUUUCUCUAAUCACCAGUUUAAAAAUUCAGAUUAGCUGGGUGAUAACGUGUCAAGAAAAAGCAGAUAUAAUUCUUCAAAUGGUAAGUGUUAGGACUUUUCCUCUCAAGAACUUUUAUAGGCAAACAGAUGCAAUUAAGCACCUACUACAAUAAUACCAAGAAAUACCAAUAAACUGAUGAAUGUAUAUUUAAAUCCUAUGCUCUCUCUAAUGAUUUCCCAUAUAAAUAGUUUACAUCCUCUCUCUCUGAGUCUAUAAGGAAAGGUUAACAUACUAACAGGGAAUAUGGAUUUUCCAGUUAGUCAGUGAGAGCUCUGUCCCUUUCUAAUGCUCAUGAGUGCUGUGACUUACACAUGGCAAAGGUGGAGCAUGCACUUACAGACAAGGUCCUGCACAUCCUGAGAGGUUUGCCUAGCUUCAGAGGCCUUCAGAGGACAUCUUUUGUGAGUUUAGAUUUCUUUGCUAAAGGCUUGGCAGGAGGUUCAUCAGAGCCCUUCAGACGAUUUCCAGUUACAGUAGUACAAACACAGUAACAGUAGUACAAUGUCUGUGAUCUUAGGAUGUUUCUCAGGAAUUUUUUUCUUUGUUGAGCAAGGUUAACAUUUUGUUCUGUAGUAUGUACUGGUUCUUUAAUAGGAAUGUGAUGGAUAUGCCAUGGCUAUGGAAGGAUACAAACGUGACUUCACAUUAGAUUUGACUUCCAUAUCCAAAAUGCUGCUAGUAGUGGUUGAGCAAAGAUCUCCAAAUAGAUGUUUUUAGCAAAAUGGAAAUGCAGGCUUGCACCCAGAAUAGAGCAGUGGAGCCCAGACCUUAGCUUUACUGCUAAAAUUAGCUUAUUUUUGAAGAGAAGAAAAACAAAGACGUUUGACGCUCACUUCUAGAUACAUUUGUGUUACAAAUUUUGAAUUAGCUGAAUGGCUGCCACCUAACUCCCUCUGUUUUCCUCCCUUCUUUUUGGCUUUUUAUUCCUCUCAUAUUUUACCCUUACUUUCUUAGUGUCCUGUUUUCCCCCGCACAGUUGUUGACCAUCGGGCCACAGACCGGGGAAGCCCAGAGUGAGGCUGUGCACUGUGCUGGUGGGGCAAUGCUGAGGGAUCCCUGCACUGGAGGAUUCCAGGUGUCAGGACUGGAAAAAGCAGCUAGCCUGGUUCAAGCACUGGAAAAAACAUGUCCUCACUUUUUGCUUGCUCAUGGACCAUACUAAAAACAUGCCACUGAAAGAUAAUGUGCUGUAGAUGGGAGAGCCAGGACUCUGUCUCCAGGUGCUAAAUGAGGAGAUCAGUGAGUUGAGGCAGGAGAGGCUGGCAGAACUGUGGUUCCCCCCCAUCUUUUCUGGAUCUUUGAGCUCCUGCCUUACUUAAGAAUAAUGGCGAGACACCAGAAUUGUCCAAAUUUUGAGGUAAGUGCUUUUGUGCUACUGUAGCUGCCUGUGCUCAUGAGGUAUACAAUGACAGCAUGCUAGUUUCUAAUCAGAUAGAGUUCAGCAGUGCAAAGCAUGCAUGCAGGUCAGGUAUGACUCAAACAAAUCAGAGUGGAUGGAGAGAAGGUACUUUUGUACUGGAGGUAGAAAGGUAGAAGGGCAGUAUUUCUUCCAUCCAAAGUGAAUAUAUAGAAACCUCAUGAAAAACUGACAUUAAACAUAUGUGGCCUUUUGGAAAGUGUCUGUGUGCAAAUGCAUCCACAACAUCUAGAGUGAUAAAAAUCAUCUACUGAGCUGAGUCGAAUGGCAUAGUUGAAGUGGAGCUGUAAAUAAAGUGGUAGGCGGUUUCCUGCUAAAACUCCCCUGCAUGUCCAAGAACCCACUGUGACUCAGCCGUUGCAGUCACUGGGAACUCAGCGCAGACACCCUUUUCUAGUUGGGCCUUUUUACUUCUCUUUUUGCACCAUAUCAAGAGGGACUCCAUUCAUCCCUGGAGGAACUGAAUUGACAAUACGACCCAUUAUUUUUUGUUGUCUUAAAGUAAUGAUCUAACGGUAGACCAGCAAGACUGUUGGGACUUCUUGUUAAACUGUCUGAUUAUCAAGGACUCAUGCCUGCAAAACUGUCUGCUUGGAUCUUUGUUAGAUCUUCGCGUGAAAGUUCUUGGAACAUACAUUAACAUACUUUAACUGGGCUUGCUCUUACCGUCUCUUGAUGGCCUAAAAAUGGAAUUUUCGUUGCUUUCAUUUCAUGUGCAAUAAGACUCAAGAAUGACUGUGGGGUUUUUUAUUUUAAAGAUUCUGUGUGUAAAUAUGCUGAAUGGAAGUGAGACAAUUACAUUUUUGCUUACAAUACAUUUUCUAAUGUACCUACUGUUCCUUCAAAAAAUUAGCAUCUUUGGAAAGAUGAACUGAGCUGAAAGAAGCUAUGCCCUUGUUAAAACAACAGCAGUAGCAAUGUCUAGUAGUUUUUAGGUCAGCAACAUCUAGAGUCUCACUUGCCCUAGAAUAUUUUAUGUUUGAAGCUGUCAGAUGUCAUCUUACUCCUCUGGGCUCUUAGGUACAUCCUUUGUCAUUGAGAUAAUGCUUUCCCUGGUCCAUUUUGAACCUGCACAAAUAGUUGCCUCUCUGUGUGAAAAGUUCUGUACCCACAAGGCUUUAGAUUUGGCAUUGGCAAUUAAUAAAGCAGGUUUGGGAGAUUUGUAGGUUCCCAUGAGUAUGAGCUCCCUUGGUUCUAGUCCCAGCUAAUUCCUUAUUGGCUUCUUCCAUAAUACUGAUGGAAGUUUCUCCCCAUCUGACCUUUCUCUGUGUGGACAAAUCCCAAUGUCCCAGGUUUAAAAUUUACUCCACUCUCCUUUUUACUUUCCAGCCUGAUGUUUUCUAAUUGCUUCCUGUAAUUUUUGUUGAAUAGCUCUUUUAGUUUCAAGAUGCUGUCUUUUGCUUUCUUUCUCUCUCUGAUAUUAAGUAUACUUUGUACAGUUUUUUUUCUGAGAAUUAAGUCUACCUUCUCCUCCAGAGUUUUCAGUUUAGCAUCUGAAGGUUAUCUGUGGUUCCUUGUUAGUGAACUUCCUUUCUGGGAAGUUCAGCCUCCUUGUAUUUUGACUCAGGUCAUUAACAUCAAAAUAGAUUCUUUUUUUCUUGCAAAUUCCCAUAACUGCCCACCUUUCUUCUCUUUUCCUUGGUCCUCUCCAUUACCACACACAGAAGUGCUAUGCGGUGCAUUGUUUUAUGAAAGCUGACACCUAGUUGCUUUCCCUCAGACAAGUCCUCUUUUGCUGCUCCUACAGCUGUGAAGGGUUUAGUACAUUUUGAAAUCCUCCCAUCUGAAAAGCAGGAGUCAGGGUUUUCACAAAGUGCACCAGAGGAGGGGAUACUCAAGGAGCUGGUGCCAGGAAGUUGCUCAGAUUGUUGCAGAGGCUGAGGGGUGGCUGGCACUGGGGGACCUGAUACUAGAGAGCAGGCCAAAAGGCAGGGGCAGUGCUGGAAGUGCCCAAGGGUUAUGAGAAAGCAGCUCUGGGGUGAUUCCAGGCAGGCAAAAAAGGAAGGUCCAGGAAGGAUGUGUAGCGCAGGGUUGUUGGGUCAGGGCGGGGAUGCUCUGGUGUGGAAGGCUGGAUGUCUUUAUUUUGUGAGAAGAAAGGCAGCUCUAUAGAGAAGGGAGAGGUUUUGAAAUGGGUUUGGAGAAGUGGGGUAAAGGCUGUGGCAGACACUGGGUCCAAAGGCUGGGGGAACUGAGCGCAAUGGGUGAAAAUGUUGCAGAUGUGGUAUGGAUGAGGGGACUCAAAGGCAGGAGGGGCCAGGGAUCACCAUCUAGCAGAACUGGUGCCAUUAACUGGGAUCCCCCUAGUUUGGGGACUGAGGACACACAAUGACCUGCCGCAUCCCCCUCCCUCCUGAUGGACUGCUUGUAACCCUCACAGCCCAUCUUUUUCUUCUAUCAGAAAUAUGGUGGUAUAUAGUAUGUCAGUACAUAGUACGUCCACUUCCAAAUAGAAGGUUUAACAGACAAUCUGAUAUCCACACCAAAUGAUAAUUUUAUUUCACCAGACAACCAGAAUUCUCCUCCUCCUCCUCCCCCACCAGACAACCAGAAUUCUCCUCCUCCUCCUCCCCCACGUACUCUUUUUUGAAGUGUAUUGGUCUUAAGGAAAAUUGCUGGGCUAUGUGGAUGGUGACUCUUGUACCCCACAAACACAGAGUGGCUGCUGAGAUCCUGCCUUCUGAGAAGAGCUCACCAGAAUGACCAGUGAGGCCAGUGAGUAGGCAGAGCCCAGGCUGCUGCAGAGUGCUGCACCCAUCAGCAUGCCUGCAAGGUGGCUGCUGCUGCACAUAUGACAGGACAGCCCAUGCUCAUGUCGGUGAGGGAAAGUGUUGGGCCCUUAUUGGUCAUGGUGAGUCAUUUGCAACUUCUGCCACAUUUAGCAUGAAUUUCAUUUUAAGUUACUCUACUGCAUCCUUAUUUUCAAUAUUUCCUUCACAAGAAGCUGGAGCCACAGAGGUGAAAAUAAUUACAUCUACCAGAACCUGUCAUGAAAAUUGGCAGCUAGUUCUCACUAGAAAUAAAAGAAUCAGAUUUUGAACAGCACUGAACAGUGCCACUCAAGUAUUCACACGUGGAAUAAAACUCUAAUCAUCUGAAGUAAUAAAGUGAAUGUAGUUCACAGGUAUUCAAAUGCCUGCACUUUUUUCUGUAUGAGUGGAAAUUGAGCAAGGAAACAGUAUUUGGGGGACAAAUCCAAUUAGAUGUGAAAAAGAGGAAUUUACCAGAAGAGUAGCCAGCCUGGUUUAGUUUCAAGAGAAAUUUGUGUCAUCCUUUUGUCUUGACGUAACACUGUGUGCAACUUAAUGCUAAGCAUUAGCUUUAAACAUGCUUUUGUACACCACCACCUUGGAUUAUAUCCCCAUUUUGGUCUCUCCCGUAUUGUGAGGUUUCCAGUGGCUCUUGUGGCCAUCCAAAUUUAUGUCUACUGUUUGAAACUGCAGAGUGUCCUCAAAUAAUUAGAUAACCGUGCUGUAAACUCCUGGACCACUCAGAUGACAUGCCCUGCCUUCAAAUACACAGCUUUGUAGUGGCUUGGAAAACUUCCCACCAGGAGUUUACCUCAAUGUCUUCCCUGGUUUUUUCUUGUACAUGUAUUGAAGUAGUUUACAGGGACAGGUUUAAUAGGAACUCAACUUUUCAAAGGAAUUAGGAGCAAAAACUUCUUUACUUGCACACUGUGCCUGUCAGGUAUAACUGCAAGGGCUUUCUGCUAAAAUAAAAAAGCCAAACUGAGAAGUAAGGGAAACACAGAUAGGCAGAACAACACUCAAUUUGAAUUGUGUCUGUUUAUAUUUGAAUCUUUUGUUUGUAGGAAGUUCUGGUUUCGUCUAUAAUACUAUGCAAAUUCCUAUAAAAGUCAGUUUAAUUUUAGUAUUACUCAAUUUCCAAAGAAAUCAUUUGGGUUUGUGUUUAGAAAACUUACUGCCAAGCCCCCUCUGCUGGAUGGAAAAAUCAUGUUUUCAUCCCUGCAUGCUGAAGACAUCUAGUAAAAGCAUUCCAGCUUGUUACUCUUCAAGUAAUUAUAGGCUCAGAGUUCACAAGAUCAUUACUAUCUUUCUAUUGUUAUCUAUCAUCAUCAGUUACCAGUUGAGCUUUAGAGAAGAGUCAGGAUGAUUGUUGCAAGUGUGUUCAAAUCCCUCCAUUUGAUUUAGUAUUCAGUCUGUUGAAAAUUCAUUCUGUCAUGUGAUUAUUUUAUCAUCCAAGUUACUUUCAGUAAUGUCCACCUCUUCACCCCCCACUAUAUCCCAUAUGUAUUAUUUACAUCUUCUGUUAGUGAUUUCAUUGCACACAGUUAGAGUGUACUUGCAUAAUAUGUCUAUACAGGAAAUAAUAAAAAUCUGAAUCCAAGAAGCACACAUGCUUUUCCAGGGCAAUUCAAACUGCAAAGACCUGGUUUGCUUGUCUUUAAAGUGUGACAAGGGACAUUCGCUAGGCGGCAGGCAAUGCUAUGUGCUGUUUAAACCAUGCUUGUAAUUUGUGUAUGACAAAGCCUUUUGCAGGGACCACCUUUAUAUUUACAGAUUGGGAAACAGGCUUGGCAAGGAAAGACAAUCCAUUAGCUUGAGCACUAAAUUAGGACAUGGAUUUAAGUCCUGCUCUGAAACAGACUGCCUGGUGACCUUGCGCUAAUGAAUUAGGCUAAAAGCCAAAAAAGAAGUGUGCCACAACAUUGAGCAGUGCCCAACAAAAUUUUGAAGUUUCUGAUACACAAAGUGUUGGACUCUUUUAUGGUCCUCUGUGGUGCACAUUGAGAGCUGAGUUUCUUUGAAAGGAGAUCCAAAGCAGCCAGUAUGCCAUGCAAGCAGCCAGUAAGGAGCUAUUGCCUACAGAGGUGUGUCUGAAGCUUUUCCCCAUCUUGAGCUUCUUCAAAAAAUGGUCUUUGAAGAAUGGCAGUCUUUAAAAAUGGAGCAAGCCAAAAGAGCGUUACUGGGGCAGCUGAUUAGUGCUUAGAAGACCUUCAGUAUGCUUCAGUAUGUGGAAAAGUGAGAUUUGUGUCCCUACUCGGCAAGAGGGCAGUCAAACUUUGGUUCCUCCCUUUUCUGGAAGGUGUCCUAACUCCUAAGUUAGAGGUCUUUUCUUAUUGAAAGGGAAGGAGGAGUAUUUGUUAGCCAAGAGAGACUUGGAGCUUAACAGCUAGAACACGCACCUAUGAGUGCGAAUCACUGGAUUCUGGUGCCUCCUCUGAGUGCUGUGACAUAUUGUACAUUAAGUAGUUACUAGAUAAGCUACAUAAGUGAUAUUUGAAGCUGAGCCAGAAUUCAGUGGAUGCCUUUCUGUGAACUAAAGCAAGUUCAGGGAAGACCAGAGAAUGUUUCCUUCUGUAGGCUUGUGGUGAGGUCAUAAUUUCAAAAUGAGCUUGACAAAGCACAUGCUUGAGUCCCUCCUUGUCAGGAAGGUAUUUGAGCCCAAAUUUCCCACAUUUAACCCUGAAAUGGCCGCAUUCCCACAAAUGAUCUCACUGGCAAACUGUUGGAUAAAACUGAUGAGGUUGAAAAGAUGAUGAUCUCUAAUGAGGUCUCCGAAGGCAUGAGAACUAUUUCAAAGCUCUAUUAUUUUAUUCAGUUUGAAAAAAUAGUGACAAUUGUACCAUAAAAAUCAAACUGUAACAAAACUGAGGGAGGGAAAAACAUAUUGAAUUGGUGUUUCAUGUUAAAAAAAUACUUUUUUAUAUAACUGUAUUUCACAUGAAAAUGUGAACUAAUUAAAGUUUCCUAGAAUAUUCUGUAAAUACAGCAUGUAUCCUGGUGAGGUUAAAUGAGUAUUCAGUCUUAGCGGUAUUAGCCAAUACAUGUUAAAAUUAACAACAGGACCAGAAAGAAGUCUUAAAUACCCCUGAGUUCUAGGGAAGUUAGAAAACUGAGCCCAUGUUUGGAAUUUAUGCCCAACCUCUUCACUCACAAGGCAGAGGGUUAAAUACAAGUAGCCUAAGUUUUUGUGUAUGCAACAUUUUGUGACUAUGCAACAUUUCCUGUCUGCUGAAAUGCAGCUGCAUUGCCUCCGUAAGUCAGCUGUUGCUUUAUAGUUGCAGUGCAAUAAAGAGUUCCCUUUCCUUCUGAAUAACAAGGUUUUAUUGCAGGGUCUGUGCACAUUGCAGGAAGAAGAGAGAAAGAAGAAAAAAAAAGGAAGCAGGAAGUACUUCAGUCCCAAGCAGUGGGUAAUCAGAGACAGUUCUGCAACUGGGGGAGCAGUCCUUCCUCCUGAGGCAUUUGGCCAAGCGUAGAUAAACCUGAGUUUUCUAGGUCUGUAAUCUAGAUACCUCAUCCUACCUUCACAGGAAUCUUUGUGCUUCUAUGAUCAGAGCUAACCUGCUUCCACAGAGGCCAAACAGUGGCCAACCAAGCUGGGAACAGGAGGCAGAAGCUCCCUCCUACCUGAGUGGGAUGGAGGACCAGGGCUGACUCAAGAUACCACUAGCCACUUUCCAGAGGCCUUUUCAUGCAGAGCCAGUUAAUUUCUUACCUUCUGAAAUGCAUAGUCUGCCCAUUUAUACAGAGCUACAACACAAAGAUACAACUUUAGAGCUAUUAAGUUGAGGUGCUGUAUAUUCAGACAUUUACAGAUAAUAGAAAAGUGUGAGUGAAAAAUGGAGAAAUGAAAGCCGUGAUGGAAACUUGUUCUUCAGUAUGUGCCUGCACAAGAAAUGGCUACCAAGAAAGAUAAAGCAUUGCUCCUAAAGCAUCUCUCUAUAACUUUACUGAUGAAACAACAAAGGAACAGUAUGCCUUUCCUACUUAUGUACCAGGAAUUUAAUGGGGCUUAGAUUACAGACCAUAAACCAUAGUUGGAGAGCAUUGCAAAACAUGCAAAAACCGCUUUGAACUCAAGAACAGAAACUUAAACUUUCCCAAUAGUUUAGGAGUAAGAACUUCACGGCACUGUUUCUUUUAUUAUUUUACAAAGACUCUACAAAUGUUAUCAGUUUGCAACACUCCACAGUUGUGUGACGAAGAUUGUAGAAGUACUGGUGGAAGGAGCUCUAUUGUUUUACAGCUGGGAAAUGCAGCCUUUAGUAGGAAAUGCAUCUAUCUAUUUUACAGACCAGAGGGUGAAUGAAAAAGAUUCUCUAAUUACUUUCAGUUCUGUUUCCUUUGGCUGGAAUGUCUGUUUUCCCCAGCCAGUCAUGUGUCCAGCCAGAAUCCAGGGUAGUACAAUGACAUUUAUAAGAAACAGAAGGGAAAGCAGCCACAAGAAAAAGGAGCAUUCACUGAAUACUGCCAGCUUUGAGUAAAAUGUGGCACUACUUAAAUGAACGCUCCUGUGACUGUGAACUUCAGAGAUUUUCUUAAUAAGGACUGUUCUUCCCAGCCUUGAUUUUGCAAGUCACUUACGACCAUUGCUCAGGCUGGUACCAAAGAAGGUUUAAAGUAUGUAGCAUGUUUCAGAAGGCACUGUGUACCUUUCAGAACAGGGCCCACAUCAGAAGAAUCAGCAGAUUGAUACUGAGCAGUGCUGGUUUUAUAUAUAGGUAGCAUAUGCUGUAAUUUAACUGGGCCAGCCAAAGUAUUUUAUGAACUCUAUCCACAUUAUAUAUGCUGAAUCUAACCUAUAUACAUGAAUGCUUAAUUUUACUGGGCAGGGUGGAACAGUGGAACUGGGGAGCGAUUGGUGCCAGCCCAGUUGCAUUUGAAAAAUGUCUGCCCUAAGCUAUUAAUUCCUUUAUCAAUAUGGUUAACCAUUGUUAACCAGCCUGGAUGGAGGAAAAAAAAGGGGCCUGGAGAAUAUUUUUGCCAUCACACAUGUGUUCGCCCAAGUUUUUGAUUUGGCAGAAAUUAGUGUAAAAGGGGUUGCAUCAAAUGACAGUGUGAACACCAUACUGACUCUGCUUCAGCCUCCUUAGCUCCACUGGUGAGCGCUGGUGGCUCUUGUGGUCUGGAGUGGACUGAAACACCACUGAGUUCCCAGCAAAGGAAGAGCCAUAGGUACCAGAAUGCAAAUAAAUCAGUGGUCUCUGUCAAAUAGUAGGUUCAACCAUUCAAUUCUCCCUCUGCCUUAAAAAUCUAUGAAAACAAUGAAAAUGAAAAUACCUAACCCACAUCUGUUAGGAUUGUUUGUUAGUAAUCAUACUGUUAUCUUUUAAAAGAAUCAGGAUAAUGUAUAGUCAGACUAGAGAGAUCUGUAGAUAAAGAAAAAGAAACUACUUUGUGCCUUUCACUUUCACCCUGCACAGUUUCUCGUAAAUGAAGCUGUAACCGGCAACUGAGCCCAAGUCGUCUGACAAGCUUUGCCUUGCAAAUCCGAGCUUGUGUGCUGUCCUUUUCCUUUCUAAAGUGUCUAUUGCCUGGAAUUCAUCCUGUUCAAAUUGUAGCAGAGCUACAGAUCUUCAAAUGCUCCUGGAUGCUCAGAACGUCAGAACCCCAAAGGUGCAAGCAAAAAACAUGCACACAUUGUUAUGCUUGCUCUGCACAGCCACUUCAUCUAUGUGACAUUUGCAUGAAUCUUAGACACCAUCUACACUGAACUGAUGUCUCCUAGUUGGCUCUUAAAGUAUUGAUAGUUUCUAUUUUGAAUAAACAAGCACUGUUGGCUUUUGCAAUAGAGUCAGAGCAAGGUUUUGUGGGCUCGUCAGGUUUUGAAAAUAAGGCGUACUGGAUUUCCAUUUAUCAUUUAUUGCUGCUUUUCAUGACAAGCUGAAAGAUUGCUAAGUUUUUGGCUUCAAUAUUUUUGAAUCUCUGAAGAGUUGCUUUUUGGUUGUAUUUGAAUUUUAAGUCCAAGUUUUGUUGUUUAGUUUGGAGGGCUGCCCUAUAUAGAGCUACAUUUAGAAACAGCCAUUGUGUUGCCCUACUAUGUAUAUUUUAGCCAUCUGCAAAAAGUCAUAUAUAUAUUUUUAAUAUCAAUCGUUAAUAAUUAUUUAAAUUUAUUCAGAUAAAUGUUUGUAUAGUUGCCUCACCGCAGUCUUCAUCACAGCCAUUAGUUCAGUAGAAAGGUCAGGUUACCCGUACGUAAAUAGUGAUUUUAGUAUUUGCCCUUGAAGUGGGUCCUUUUCUCAAUUUCUUUGUAUUUUCCUCUGGUUCAUUUUGUUUUCUUGUUUAGUUCAUAAUAUGAAGUCUAUAGUCUCACUGGAAUGAGCUGAUGAAAAUCUUUUAGCACCAGUAGAUAUAUUUACCUUAAUAGAAACUGAGUACUGUGAGGUACCUAUGGGUCAGUUGUCAGCAAUGGUUGUUCAGGACUUCAAAUGCUGGCAAUAAAAGUCUGACCUUCAUUCCAUCAAAUUCAUAUUUGACCCUGCCUACUCUGGGCUUAGUGGAAAGAGAUGGGUCUUAAUUAGAGAGUUUCGAUAGUGUUUAAUAUAAGGUGCUGUACAGCCUACAAACUAGAACCUGUGAUUAAAAUCACUUAAAUCAAGAGGUGGAGACAGUUUGUGACUUUUUAAUGUCAAAUUAUAUUUUAAAAUAUGACAUUUCCAUAUGAGUCGUAGAGGUCUUUCUAAGCUGAGCUGAUGAGAUGUCUCACAGUUGGCUCAUGCAAUCUUGUGUCUCUUGAUUUUUUAAUAAAGAAGCCUAAGAAUGUGAAAACACAUUUCAGCAAUUGAAUGUCCCAAUUUAGGAAGAAUUCUGUGACUUUACUUAACAUUUUAUAUCUUCUCUUAGACCUACUAAGUGACUUUAAUCCAAAAUUAACCCUAUUGUACAUGCCGACAUUCAUUCACUCAUGCAGAUAGUUGGGGUAGCAAGCUGCUAUUUGUAAAUGGUGUGGCAAUAAAUGCAUUCUAACUCUGGGCUUGUAACUAUUUCCAUUUUUGAACCUUGCUUUAUAAAAUGCACGCUAUAAUGUAAGAAAUUGAGAAAUCAAGCUUAUUUAGGCCCCAGUCCAUCUAAGUACAUAAAAACACAUAAGCACUAUUAUUGAGCAGCUUUAAAUGAAAGUUUCACUGCUGUCGAUUUCCUCUGUAUGUUAUUUUUGCUUUUUCAGUCACUCAGCUGUUUGUUCUGAAUUCAUGCUCUGCUUUCCCCCUGCAGAGAAGCACAAGGCCAGCUGUUCCUUCAGCUAUGAUUUUAGCUUUUGCUUUCUGAAGUACCAAUACCAGUCAGUGCCUUCCCACUCAGCACUUGGCAUCAUUCUUCCCAUUCAAGGCCAUUUCUGCUCUUCAUCCCCCUGCCAGCACCCGGUGAGUCAGGAGACCAGUUGCUCACAAGCAGUUUCCAAAGAGGAUGCCAGUGCUGCUAGAGCUCUGCGUCCAGUGCAGGAUCCUUUUUGUCUAGCAUCCCUGGGCAAUCACAUGGGCAAAGCUGUAGUCACAGCUUCAUAGAAAAUAAAUGCGGCCACUUUACAUGGAGAUUCUUUGAUCUCAGAGCAAAAUUUGGUUAGUUAAGGACAGUCACCACAUCUGUGUUUUAGGUGAUACUCUGUGGGAAUGCAAGUAAAAAACAUUGGCUAAAGCAUAGGGAAUAGUGAGUAAUACUCACUUUCCACACAAAUUUUAAGUGACUAGAAAACAGCUGACUGGUCUGCUUGGCUGUGUGACCUGCAGCUGCCACCAAACCUGAAGACCUGUCUCCUGAAGACCCUGCAAAGUACUCCCUCACACAGCAAGAGAGAGGUGGGCUUUCUCCUCUCUGGCUGCCUGUGAACUCUUGGAGGCUCAUCUCAAACUUUCCUCUUCAAGUAGCUUGAUGUUAAUCUUAAACUUCCAAAAGUUUUUUCCUGAAUGAAUGCAGGUGUGUGCUGUGUGAGAUUGGUAUAAAAUUCCUGAGUUGUUACAUUAAAAUUCUGAACUCCUUUUAAUCCUGUUCUAACAUUUUAUUAAUUUCAAAUUACCUUGAUUGGUGGUGGUGUAGCAGUGAUGUUUUCAGUUUAAACAAGAUAAGGCUCGUAGGAAGAGAUGGUUUCUUUGAUUGGACCUGAGAAAGCUCUUGCCUGCUUGAAGAUUUGACUAUUAGUAAAAGCCUCUCCCUACUAAGCACCAGAAAUUUAUUUCAUGAAUCUUUGAACAGGCCUUGAAUAUUGUAGAACCCUGACAAUGUAUGCUCUGGAACAGCUGUAACUUCUUAGCCUCUAUGGAUAUUUCUAAUAUUUGAUAUCUCAGUUUUUAAGUUUUUGAAAAUAAAAUGCCACUCUGGUUGCUUUUCUUUAGGAAAAUUAUUCUGCUCUCACUCCACUGGAUGAACGGGAUGCUGACAAUGCCAAUCAGUAUACUUAUGCAAAACCAGCAGCUGUCAAGGGAGGACACCAGGGUCUGCACUCCCCUACACUGGUUAUAGGGGCUCUCCAGUCCCGUUAAGCUUCUCCUAAACAUCCAAUUCUUUUAUGAAGUGAAAUGAAGUCAGAAAGGCUGCACGACUGAAGUCUCCUGGCUCUUGGCUUCACUUCAGUCAGGAUGAAGAUCUAACACUUUGGAUGCCAUUCAUAUUUCCUGUUUAAAGAGUUCCUUUUUUCUUGGUGCAGGAGUUUGAAUAAGCUCAUCUGGAAUCCAGCUUUGCAGACUAUUUCCAGAGCAGCAAGCCAUACUGGUAAAGACUAUGAUUAAUUCUUUUCUUUUUUUUUCUUUCACCAUGUCAUAGUCCUAUUCCAUAGAAUGCUGAUUUAUUUCAGUUGCAUACCAGCGUAUUUAUAGCAUGGAAAGGAAUAAACGGAUGACACCCACUUCUGCAGAAUGCUACUGGAGCUCUCUAAGCAUUUCCUCUAAUAUUCUUUGUAAAUGAAAUGAGUCAGCUGAGCUGGAGAGCAUUGCACUGUUUUCAUAGCCCGUAGGCUGCCAUCAAUAGAGAUGUGUGGUGAGUGGCAGGAACUUGUUAAGUUUGCGUGACGGUGAGAGCAAUGAAAUAAUUUCUCAUGUUAAGGCUGGCUGUACAAGCUAAGGUUUCCACCCUCUCUGAGGAGGUGCCGGAGCCAGAAGCUGGUUUUCCUCUGCCACACACUGGGUGCAGCUGUCAGCUCCUGGCAGACACAGGAGGACUCUUGCUGUAACCCUCUACUGAUUCUACUAAGCAUAUACUAACAUGCAAUGUACAGCAUCUGUACUGGGUUCUCAAGACAAAAAGAGCACAAGAGGGUGCCUUGCUAAUGCUUUACUUGAUAGUAUUUGCCACAAAAGUUAGUUCAUCUUAUCUUAGAGUGACGCCCAUGCAGUUUUGACAACACUAUGGGAGAGGCCAGACUCUCGUUAGUAUUCAUAUUAUGAUGUCUGUCACUCACAUUUACCUGCCAAGUCACUUCUAAAAUGUUACUUAUUCAGAGCUACCUGCUAACUAAAAUUUUGGCAAGUUGCACCUGGAGUUUUCCUGUUUCAGCAGAUGACUUGCCUGGUUCCAGGUCUUUUGAAAUUGCUGGUUGAACAUAACUUAGCAUCCAUAUGCCAGACUGAUCAGUCCCAAAGCAUAAACUACAAGCAGCAGAAGUUCAAGUUAGGGAUGCAAAUAUGACUGACUUUCAACCCAUUAAUUCCAACCCAUUGAGCCAUUAAUGUCAAAUAAUUAAUUACAUUAAGUGAUGACAAGGUAGCUUAAAAAAAAACCCUGAAGGAUGUGGAUGUUUCUCCAGACUUCAUCCUGCAUGUCAGCAUGUCCACACUGCAUCUUUUAUGCAGUACAGAACAAACAUCAGGAAAAAAUUGAAUUUUAUAUUCUUGUGAUUGUUUCAUAUAGUUCUGUGUGCAGUAUAAGUUAAUAAGCAUAAAUGGAAGGCAGUUUGUCUCAGAUCCCUCUUCUCACUUACGGAGUAACACAUUUUUUCAAAAUACUGUUUUCUUAUAUUGCUUCUGUUAUGCUUCAUUCCUGUAUGCUGCUUCCUUUCACUGAAGGAGGAUAUAAAAGACACAGUUGUAUCACCUUGCAGUUCACUCUCUGAUUGUGGGCAGCCAGUGUCUGCAAGAGAUGCUAACUCAGAGCAGCACCCGUCAGCAGGCUGCAGUACAGAGCAGAUGGGGAGCUGCCAUGGGCCUGUCCCCAUCACACUCAAAUCCUCUGAGAUUCUGGGCUGCCGCAGACAAGUUUUUCUACAGUGUCUGUUUUAUGGACAUUUGUGGGCCAUUCUGACGUUACCAUUAUGAUCCGUGUGUUUAUCAGCUCCAUGCUUCAUGACUUCUCUUCCAUUCACCUGUGGAGCUUCAAGGUAGCCCUAUUUUGAAAACAAAUAUUUUAAAAAAAUUAAAAUGUAUAUGCAAAAAAUAAUCUUGAUUACUUGAAUUCAAAAUUUAAAAACAAAAAAUUAAACCAGAACUUUUUUGAAGUCUAGUUAGUGAAUUCUCAGUACUAGGAAAGAGAAACUGACAAAUAAAACUGAAGAAACUUUUCUGUAUGCAUUAACUAAUGGACUGGGACAGAGAUCUUUUUUAAAACUCUUUUGGGUAGGAUGAAAGACUGUAAAAUACCAGAAUUUCUGGCCAAGCCAAAGAAGGAUUUUUCCAAUUGUGUAAUACCAUCCUUUUACCCAAGUUAGAGAGGGGAGCAGAGAAUUGCUUCCAUUUUAAGUAGUAAUGCCAGUGAGAGUGUGAAAACAUAUGAGCUGGACAGAAAAUUCUAAGUUGCUGCUUCUUUGGAAAUCUCUUUUUAUGGAGAUCUAGGGUUAAAUUCUUUUUUCAGUUCUCUUGACGCUAUACUAACAGAACAGUGCCAGAGUAAUUGAGGGAGACCUGGCUCCUGCUACGCUCUGGGCUCUUAUCUAUGUGUAGUCUGACCUUUUUUUACUCAUACUGUGACAGCAUCUCAUGUGCAUGCCAGCGUGAGGAAUAACGUCCUUGAAGACUGCUUUGAAGAAAGGCACAUACUGUAGUAGCAGGCAGAAGAAGAUUGAUUUCUUCUUUUUAAUCCAUGCAAACCAAAACUGUGUCAUCCAGCAUGCUCUCAGAAAAUUUAACCCAAUGUGAUUUACAGCCUGUCAGCCACCAACUCAUUGCCUUUUCCAACGGUGUGCUGAGCUUCCUCUGCUACCCUUAAAUCAGAGGAUGUGAGAUAAUCUGCAGAAAGCAGUCUGUGGAGGCAUCAGACGUUUUUCCUGCAUCUGCAGAAUGUGUCUCCUUGCUGGGCUGAGCCAGUUCUUUGAUAAGACCUUUGCAGAUAGUUUACUGAAAGAUAAGGGUUUUCUAGUUUAAGAAAACAAAUCCAUCUGUUGGUGCAGAUCACCAGUGCUGCGGCCCUUCUUCUCAUAAAACAGUCUCUUCAAGGAAAAUCUUUUAAAAGGGACCUUUUAGUCUUCUGCAGAUUACUCUUGUAGGGGUCUUGCCUUCAUCUGCGGAUUUAAUGGCUUAAUAAGCAUUAGACCCUCCUGUUACACAGUAACAAAUAGGAAUACAAUACUUUUAUCAAUAUUUGGCACAAUUACUUUUUUUAUGUGAAACUAAAUAUUGAUGCUGUCAAGUGACUGCAACUUAGGGGCAUAAUUUACAAAUAUUCUUCUCCUGUAAGCCUUGCUCAAAUUUUGCAUUCAUGUACAGUAACCAUCUAAUGUCUUUCUAUUCCUGUAAGCCAUCUGAUUUGAUUGCCAGAUUACACAGUUUUGCAUUGUGCUUAGAUGUGUUUUUAUUGUUAUUACCAAUAUUACCUUUUAUUCUUACUGUAAAUGCUAACAAAGUUAACUGCUUCCUUACACUCUAAAAGGAAUAAAGUCCCAUUUACAGAAUGUCUCUAAACAGAAAACAUAUCUGGAAAAAAA